AUUUGUUGUUCUAGGGAGAAAUCUUACAGUCUUACACCUGAGGAAGAAAUGCCACUGGGAGGGACCUUGAAAGGUUGGCACAGAUCUUUUCCUGAAAUGGAAUGCUCGAACUCUUCUGCUGGAGAGCACCAGAAUGAUUCUUCAGAAUUCUACCCGAGAGCACCAAGAAUUUCGAUCCUUUCACCAUUUUAUCCAGGAACAAAGUUUAAAUCUAAUAGAAGCUCCAUCUCUGUCCAUUAGAACAAACCAAGACGACCAUAGGGGAACUUUCCAGCCGGUCCCCUUGCUCUGCUCUUAGCUUUACAAGCUCUGCAACCUCAGCUGAAUCCUAGGAGAGAAGAAAUGGAUAAGGUGGGUGUCAGAGCCUUCCUGAGGCUGCUCUGGCUCAGGGGCCAAGCCAUCUCCUGAUGGGAUGCAGGACCAGAGACAGCAAAGGACUGUUUCACAACAGAGACUGCUUCACCCCAGUGCUGUAGAGUGGCAGAGUCAGAGCCAGCCUGUUCCUUCACAUCUCAUCCCUGUGUGGCUGGCAGUCACAAUAGGCAGCAACACCAUCAAAAUCAAGGAUCCCACGGGGACUAAGGAUUUGUACUUGCCUGGGACUAGGCUGUAGGGAGCAUGUCUCCAAUUACAGCAGCAUUGCUACUAGGCUGAAGCCCCAUUGAACGUUGCUACUUUGCAGAAGGAUGCCUUGCACUGCAGAGUGGCUGGGAAGGGUUGUCAGAGCAGGGCUGAGGUGUAUGGAUAUUAAAAGGAAAUGUGAAAGAUAGGCAAGGACAGCAGCCUGCAAGGAAUAACCUUUUGUUGGCACUGGACUCCUGCACACAAAGGUGUUGCAAAUGGUGAGCUGAGAAGCUUGGAUUUGGACAGGGCAUUAAGAAUGGCUUCUGAAAGCCCCACAGGGACUAGAGUGUUAUCUCACACCUUUUACACCAGUACAACCACACUGGUCAUGAGAGAUUUGGGGGUCACUUGCUGCUACUGGCACAGUAGGGGAAUUGCUGCUGAGGGAAGCCACCCCUAGGGAAGGCAACUGAGAGGGCCAGGAUAGGUUUGGUGUCCUGACAUCUGCUGUCUUGGACACCUGCCAUGCCCAGGACUGGCCCUGCUCCUUUGACUGCAGGGAGGAGUGACACGAUCAAGUCCAGAUGCUAGUAUGGUGAUGUGAGAGGUCUGGGAAUCAUGGCUCUUGGAGCCAGUGUGCUCUUUUUGGGUCCAAAUCAGUCCUGUUGCAUUCUUUUGCACCAAAAUUUGGGGAAGGUGCAGUGGC
ensembl:lncRNA